CUGGUGGGCGCUGGGAAGGCGCGGAGAAGGGAAGAAACCCACUGAGGGGCAAGAAGCUCCUCGGUGAUCUCAGCUAGAGGAAAACGAGGGCUAAGUAAUCUGGGCCAUUGGGCGUUACUGCGCUGUCCCGGCUGGCUUCUGAAUCCUGGGAGCAUUCUUUUUUAUAAAAGGAGUCAGACACCGUGAACUCUCCCCAGAAAAACUUCUGGCUAAAAAUGAUCCACAAAAGGAAAAUGAGUUGGUUUUUAACUGGAUGAAAACAAACACAAAUUCACUUUACUUUUGGAUCCUUUUUGCUGCGUUACAAACCACCUCAAAGUGCUGAGAACCAGGUAGAAGAAUGGAGGAGGAAGGGUUCUCCUGGCAGAGAGAGCGGCAGAUCCUCAUUCACACUGAGGUGUUGAUGACUGGUUGCUGUCCAACACAGCCAUUCUCAUUAGAGUGUGAGCCUAUAGGGAUAUAAUGAUACAGCAUUAAAGCCGGGGCCUUCUUCAAAUUGCCUUGUGAGUGAGUUGAGCUUAUAUGGUUGUUUUUGUUUUCUUUUUAAUGUUACCCAAAAAUACAUUUUUAAUAAGCUUACCAAAUCUAUAGUGGAAGUGAGGAAGA